rnacentral:rRNA from 1 species
GAUGAACGCUGGCGGCGUGCCUAAUACAUGCCAGUCGAGCGAACGGACGAGAAGCUUGCUUUUCUGAUGUUAGCGGCGGACGGGUGAGUAACACGUGGAUAACCUACCUAUAAGACUGGGAUAACUUCGGGAAACCGGAGCUAAUACCGGAUAAUAUUUUGAGCCGCAUGGUUCAAAAGUGAAAGACGGUCUUGCUGUCACUUAUAGAUGGAUCCGCGCUGCAUUAGCUAGUUGGUAAGGUAACGGCUUACCAAGGCAACGAUGCAUAGCCGACCUGAGAGGGUGAUCGGCCACACUGGAACUGAGACACGGUCCAGACUCCUACGGGAGGCAGCAGUAGGGAAUCUUCCGCAAUGGGCGAAAGCCUGACGGAGCAACGCCGCGUGAGUGAUGAAGGUCUUCGGAUCGUAAAACUCUGUUAUUAGGGAAGAACAUAUGUGUAAGUAACUGUGCACAUCUUGACGGUACCUAAUCAGAAAGCCACGGCUAACUACGUG